rnacentral:rRNA from 1 species
UACGUAGGGGGCGAGCGUUGUCCGGAAUUAUUGGGCGUAAAGAGCUCGUAGGCGGUUUGUCGCGUCGAAUGUGAAAACCCGGGGCUCAACCCCGGGCCUGCAUUCGAUACGGGCAGACUAGAGUUCGGUAGGGGAGUCUGGAAUUCCUGGUGUAGCGGUGAAAUGCGCAGAUAUCAGGAGGAACACCGGUGGCGAAGGCGGGACUCUGGGCCGAUACUGACGCUGAGGAGCGAAAGCGUGGGGAGCAAACAGG